UCUUCAUCUCACACACUCUCUCGCCUCUCCGACCGGUGAGAGAGUGUGUGGAAUGAAGAGA
rnacentral:pre_miRNA from 1 species